rnacentral:rRNA from 1 species
AUUGAACGCUGGCGGCAUGCCUUACACAUGCAAGUCGAACGGCAGCGGGGGAGAAGCUUGCUUUUCCUGCCGGCGAGUGGCGAACAGGUGAGUAAUACAUCGGAACGUGCCCUGUAGUGGGGGAUAACUAGUCGAAAGAUUAGCUAAUACCGCAUACGACCUGAGGGUGAAAGUGGGGGACCGCAAGGCCUCAUGCUAUAGGAGCGGCCGAUGUCUGAUUAGCUAGUUGGUGGGGUAAAGGCCUACCAAGGCGACGAUCAGUAGCUGGUCUGAGAGGACGAUCAGCCACACUGGGACUGAGACACGGCCCAGACUCCUACGGGAGGCAGCAGUGGGGAAUUUUGGACAAUGGGCGAAAGCCUGAUCCAGCAAUGCCGCGUGUGUGAAGAAGGCCUUCGGGUUGUAAAGCACUUUUGUCCGGAAAGAAAUGGCUCUGGUUAAUACCUGGGUCGAUGACGGUACCGGAAGAAUAAGGACCGGCUAACUACGUGCCAGCAGCCGCCGUAA